UACGUAGGGGGCAAGCGUUGUCCGGAAUUAUUGGGCGUAAAGAGCGCGUAGGCGGUCCGAUAAGUCGGCUGUGAAAGUCAGGGGCUCAACCCUUGAAAGCCGGCCGAUACUGUCGGACUAGAGUCCGGAAGAGGCGAGUGGAAUUCCCGGUGUAGCGGUGAAAUGCGCAGAUAUCGGGAGGAACACCGGCGGUGUAGACGGCUUGCUAGACCAUAACUGACGCUGAGGCACGAAAGCGUGGGUAGCAAACAGG
rnacentral:rRNA from 1 species